CAAUAUUAAACCUUUUUUAUCGAGCUUCUAAUAAAAAGUGAAGGUUUUCAAGCACUAUAAAUUAUUUUAGACCUUCGUCGUGGUGAGGGGUAGGUUAAACGCCUGCUUCGGCAAACUGUAUGGUUUGACUGAAACGAUCUCAACGCCCCUCCGGUUGGAACAUAUAGUCGUGAGUAUCUCACAUGACUCCUCAACCUGUCUACCCCUGACCGUCCAUAAUGGAGUAACAUAGCCAGGAGUCACGUAUUAUCAUGACUCUUAAACUCGUCUUCUCCUGCGGUCAUGGAGGACACCUCUAUUUGAAACAGAAGUGGUAGCAAAUUUGUGCCACAGAUCACCACUCAGUCCUAUAGUACAUGUUCCAUCACCUUAAUGCCCCCACUAGAGUUACAAGCUAGCGCUACC
rnacentral:lncRNA from 1 species